AGAGUUUGAUCAUGGCUCAGGACGAACGCUGGCGGCGUGCUUAACACAUGCAAGUCGAACGGUGACGAUCAAGCUUGCUUGGUCUGAUCAGUGGCGAACGGGUGAGUAACACGUGAGUAACCUGCCCCAGACUCUGGGAUAACCCCGGGAAACCGGAGCUAAUACCGGAUAUGACACGCCCCUGCAUGGGGAGUGUGUGGAAAGUUUUUCGGUCUGGGAUGGACUCGCGGCCUAUCAGCUUGUUGGUGAGGUAAUGGCUCACCAAGGCGACGACGGGUAGCCGGCCUGAGAGGGCGACCGGCCACACUGGGACUGAGACACGGCCCAGACUCCUACGGGAGGCAGCAGUGGGGAAUAUUGCACAAUGGGCGAAAGCCUGAUGCAGCGACGCCGCGUGAGGGAUGACGGCCUUCGGGUUGUAAACCUCUUUCAGCAGGGAAGAAGCGCAAGUGACGGUACCUGCAGAAGAAGCACCGGCUAACUACGUGCCAGCCGCCGCGGUAAUAC
rnacentral:rRNA from 1 species